UUUAUGCACCUCUAUAUAUUGCUGGACCAAUUGUUAGCUUCAACGCAUUUGCUUCACAGCUUGAUACUCCCCAGAAGACGCACUCAUUGAAAAAAGUGGUGUGGUAUGGACUUCGUUGGAUUUUCAGCCUGAUGCUUAUGGAAUCAAUGACACAUUUCUUUUACUACAAUGCAUUUGCCAUUAGUGGCACAUGGAAAUACUUAUCUCCUUUGGACAUCUUCAUCAUCGGGUAUGGAGUAUUGAACUUCAUGUGGCUCAAGUUUUUUCUACUUUGGCGCUACUUUCGCUUCUGGUCACUGAUCAAUGGUAUUGAGGCCCCUGAGAAUAUGCCUAGAUGUAUAAAUAAUUGCCACAACUUGGAAAGCUUUUGGAGAAACUGGCAUGCCUCGUUUAACAAAUGGCUUGUUAGGUGCUUUCUCAAUCUCAUCUAGCUUUAUCUGUGUGA
rnacentral:misc_RNA from 1 species